AACGAACGCUGGCGGCAUGCUUAACACAUGCAAGUCGAACGAGACCUUCGGGUCUAGUGGCGCACGGGCGGUUACCGCGUGGGAACUUGCACUUAGGCUCUGAAUACCUCACCCUGAGGGAUGCUCAUGACGCGUCGUGUCAUACUGGCAAAGAUUUAUCGCCUUUGGAUGGGCACGUGUUGGGUUGGUCAGUUGGUAGUGUAAUAGCAUGCCAAGGCGUCGUUCCAGAGCUGGUCUGAGAGGAUGAUCAGCCACACUGGGAAUGCGACCCGGCCCAGACUCCUACGCGAGGGAGCAGUGUGGAGUAUUAGACGAUAGACGAUGGCCUGAUCCAGCAGUGCCGGGUGAGUGAUGAAGGCCUUAGGAUUCUAAAGCUCUUUUAGCCGGAAUGAUAAUGACGGUACCGGGAGAAUAAGCGCCGGCUAACUCCGUG
rnacentral:rRNA from 1 species